rnacentral:rRNA from 1 species
GGUGAACGCUGGCGGCAUGCCUAACACAUGCCAGUCGAGCGGAGGAACGGGGCGUGCUCCCGUUUUCAGCUGGCGACGGGUGGGUGAGUCAGAAGUAUAUCACUUUCAUCUUUGUCUAGGGUCAUAACGCGGGCACUGAUACGCUAUACGUUCAUAGGUCGAACGGGUGGGAUCUUCGGAGCUCGCGUGAUCGGGUGAUCCUAUGAGCUGAGGCCGGAUUAGCUAGUUGGCGGGGUAACGGCCCACCAAGGCGACGAUCCGUAGCUGGUCUGAGAGGAUGAUCAGCCACACUGGAACUGAGACACGGUCCAGACUCCUACGGGAGGCAGCAGUGGGGAAUAUUGGACAAUGGGCGAAAGCCUGAUCCAGCCAUGCCGCGUGUGUGAAGAAGGUCUUCGGAUUGUAAAGCCCUUUUAUUGGGGAAGAAGAGCAGUAAGUUAAUACCUCGCUGUUUUGACGGUACCAACAGAAUAAGCACCGGCUAACUUCGUG